CCUAAGGCGAGGCCGAAAGGCGUAGUCGAUGGGAAACGGGUUAAUAUUCCCGUACUUGGUGUUACUGCGAAGGGGGGACGGAGAAGGCUAUGUUGGCCGGGCGACGGUAGUCCCGGUUUAAGCGUGUAGGCUGGUUUUCCAGGCAAAUCCGGAAAAUCAAGGCUGAGGCGUGAUGACGAGGCACCACGGUGCUGAAGCAACAAAUGCCCUGCUUCCAGGAAAAGCCUCUAAGCAUCAGGUAACAUCAAAUCGUACCCCAAACCGACACAGGUGGUCAGGUAGAGAAUACCAAGGCGCUUGAGAGAACUCGGGUGAAGGAACUAGGCAAAAUGGUGCCGUAACUUCGGGAGAAGGCACGCUGACAC
rnacentral:rRNA from 1 species